rnacentral:rRNA from 1 species
GAUGAACGCUGGCGGCGUGCCUAAUACAUGCAAGUCGAGCGAACAGACGAGGAGCUUGCUCCUCUGACGUUAGCGGCGGACGGGUGAGUAACACGUGGAUAACCUACCUAUAAGACUGGGAUAACUUCGGGAAACCGGAGCUAAUACCGGAUAAUAUAUUGAACCGCAUGGUUCAAUAGUGAAAGACGGUUUUGCUGUCACUUAUAGAUGGAUCCGCGCCGCAUUAGCUAGUUGGUAAGGUAACGGCUUACCAAGGCAACGAUGCGUAGCCGACCUGAGAGGGUGAUCGGCCACCCUGGAACUGAGACCCGGUCCAGACUCCUACGGGAGGCAGCAGUAGGGAAUCUUCCGCAAUGGGCGGAAGCCUGACGGGGCAACGCCGCGUGAGUGAUGAAGGUCUUCGGAUCGUAAAACCUUGUUUUUAGGGAAGAACAAAUUUGUAAGUAACUAUGCACGUCUUGACGGUACCUUAUCAGAAAGCCACGGCUAACUACGUG